UAUUAUUUAAUUUAUUUUUAUUUAUUGAAUUAAUUAUUUUUAUUAAAAUUAAUUGUUUGUUUUUGUAUAUGCUAUAGAUUAAAUUUUUUUUAUUAUAAUUUAUUUUUACUGUAUUGGAUAUUUUAUUAAUUUAUAAAAGUGAAUUUUUAUUGUACCUUGUGUAUCAGGAUUUAUUGAAUUAUAUUAUAUACAUUGUAUUUCCCGAUUUUGAAGGAUUUAAAUAAUUAUUUUAGUUAUUGUUUUAUAAUUAUUAAUAAUAUUUAUUUGGUAGUGAUAUGUUAUUCGACUUUAAUGAUAUCUGGUUUUUCAAGAAAUGAAUUUAAUUCAUAUAUUAUUAUUAUAUUUCUAUUUAUUUAGUUUUUAUUUUAUUAAUAUAAAUAUUGAGGGGGAUAAGCUCUUUAAUAUAUUUUUAUAACUUUAAUUUUUAUUUAAUUUUGUUGAUUUUAUAAUAAUUAUCAUUUUAAGUUUGUUAAAAUUUUAUUUUGUUAUUUAUUUUUGUUUAAGUAAUUUAAUGAAGUGUUUUAUUAAUNNNNNNNNNNNNNNUUUAUUAAUAAUUAUGAUAUAAUUAGUAAUUAAUAAUAUUAUUUUAUUUAUUUAUUUUGUUAAUAUUUUAAAAGGAAUUAGGCAAAAAUAUAAUUAUUCUCGCAUGUUUAUCAAAAACAUCUCUUCUUUUAUUAAAUGUGAAGUAUGGCCUGCCCACUGAAUUAUUUGAAGGGCCGCGGUAUUUUGACCGUGCAAAGGUAGCAUAAUCAUUAGUUCUUUAAUUGUGGACUAGAAUGAAUGGCUGGACGAAGUAUAUACUGUUUCUUAUUAUUUUAUUGAAUUUAAUUUUUAAGUUAAAAGGCUUAAAUGUAUUUAUGGGACGAGAAGACCCUAUAGAGUUUAUAUAUAUUUAUUAUUUACUUUUGUUUGAUUAAUUUUUUAAUAUUUAAUGUAUUUUGUUGGGGUGAUAGGAAGAAUAAAUUAACUCUUUUUGUAUUUAUUCAUUGAUUUGUGAUUAUUUGAUCCAUUUUUGUUGAUUAUAAGAUUAAAUUACCUUAGGGAUAACAGCGUAAUCUAUUUUGAGAGUUCUUAUUAAUAAAUAGGGUUGCGACCUCGAUGUUGGAUUAAGAUUUAAUUUGGGUGUAGAAUUUCAAUUUAUUUAGGUCUGUUCGACCUUUAAAAUCUUACAUGAUCUGAGUUCAGACCGGCGAGAGCCAGGUUGGUUUCUAUCUAUAAUUAAUUUUUAUAUCUUAGUACGAGAGGACCAGAUAUUUAAAAUAAUUUUUGUAUUUAUGAUUAUUAUUAAUUUAUUAUU
rnacentral:rRNA from 1 species